rnacentral:rRNA from 1 species
UUAGAGGAAGUAAAAGUCGUAACAAGGUUUCCGUAGGUGAACCUGCGGAAGGAUCAUUAUUGAAAUAAACUGAUGAGUUGCUGCUGGUUCUCUAGGGAGCAUGUGCACGCUUGUCAUCUUUAUAUCUCCACCUGUGCACCUUUUGUAGACCUGGAUAUCUGUCUGAAUGCUAGCCAUUCAGGAUUGAGGAUUGACUUUCAUGUCUUUUCCUUACAUUUCCAGGCCUAUGUUUCUUCAUAUACCCCAAUGUAUGUCAUAGAAUGUAAUCAAUGGCCUUUGUGCCUAUAAACCUAUACAACUUUCAGCAACGGAUCUCUUGGCUCUCGCAUCGAUGAAGAACGCAGCGAAAUGCGAUAAGUAAUGUGAAUUGCAGAAUUCAGUGAAUCAUCGAAUCUUUGAACGCACCUUGCGCUCCUUGGUAUUCCGAGGAGCAUGCCUGUUUGAGUGUCAUUAAUAUAUCAACCUCUUCAGCUUUUGCUUGUUGAGUGUUGGAUGUGGGGGUCUUUUUUUGCUGGUCUUCUCAGGUCAGCUCCCCUGAAAUGCAUUAGCGGAACAAUUUGUGGACCGUUCAUUGGUGUGAUAAUUAUCUACGCUAUUGACGUGAAGCAGUUCAGCUUCAAACAGUCCAUUGACUUGGACAAAUUUUUAUUAAUGUGACCUCAAAUCAGG